rnacentral:rRNA from 1 species
CAGCCGUAAACUAUGCUCGCUAGGUGUCAGGCAUGGCGCGACCGUGUCUGGUGCCGCAGGGAAGCCGUGAAGCGAGCCACCUGGGAAGUACGGCCGCAAGGCUGAAACUUAAAGGAAUUGGCGGGGGAGCACAACAACGGGUGGAGCCUGCGGUUUAAUUGGACUCAACGCCGGACAACUCACCGGAUAAGACAGCUGAAUGAUUGUCAAUCUGAAGGUUUACAUGACUAGCUGAGAGGAGGUGCAUGGCGUCAGUGACU